rnacentral:rRNA from 1 species
AUACGGAGGAUGCGAGCGUUAUCCGGAUUUAUUGGGUUUAAAGGGUGCGUAGGCGGACGAUUAAGUCAGCUGUGAAAUGCCCGCGCUUAACGCGGGAAGUGCAGUUGAUACUGGUUGUCUGGAGUGCCGUUGCCGUGGGGGGAAUGUGUAGUGUAGCGGUGAAAUGCAUAGAUAUUACACAGAACGCCGAUUGUGAAGACACCUCACGAAGCGGUAACUGACGCUGAGGCACGAAAGCGUGGGGAUCGAACAGGAUUAGAUACCCUGGUAGUCCACGCAGUAAACGAUGAUGACUAACCGUCGGCGAUAGACCGCCAGUGGCCAAGCGAAAGCGAUAAGUCAUCCACCUGGGGAGUACGACCGCAAGGUUGAAACUCAAAUGAAUUGGCGGGG